CUAACACAUGCAAGUCGAACGGAGUGAAGGAGCUUGCUCUUUCAUUUAGUGGCGCACGGGUGAGUAACGCGUAGAUAAUCUGCCUUGGACUCUGGGAUAACAUCUCGAAAGGGGUGCUAAUACCGGAUAAGCCCACGAUGGCGUAAGUCAUUGCGGGAAAAGGGGGCCUCUGAAUAUGCUCCUGAUUCAAGAUGAGUCUGCGUACCAUUAGCUAGUUGGUAGGGUAAGAGCCUACCAAGGCGACGAUGGUUAGCUGGUCUGAGAGGAUGAUCAGCCACACUGGAACUGAGACACGGUCCAGACUCCUACGGGAGGCAGCAGUGGGGAAUUUUGCGCAAUGGGGGAAACCCUGACGCAGCAACGCCGCGUGAGUGAUGAAGGCUUUCGGGUCGUAAAGCUCUGUCUAGAGGGAAGAAAUGAUAGUCGGUUAAUACCCGGUUUUCUUGACGGUACCUCUGAAGGAAGCACCGGCUAACUCCGUGCCAGCAGCCGCGGUAAU
rnacentral:rRNA from 1 species